GCCCAAGUGGUGGAAUUGGUAGACACGCAGGAUUCAGGAUCCUGUGGGAGUAAUAUCCCGUGGGGGUUCGAGUCCCCCCUUGGGCACCA
rnacentral:tRNA from 1 species